AACAAUCAGAUGCUAUUUACACCAGCCCCAUUGUUUGCUGUGAAGCGGGAGGGGGGACCCAGUUCUGAGGACUCUUGUUUGUUGGGAUCGAAAUGCCACAGCCACCAGUUAGGCCAAGUCUAUGGAGGAGCCAAGGCCAGGGGUGGAGAAACUGAGGCUCAGAGACAUUGUGAGUUGCAUCACAUAAUGGAUAAUGGAUGAAACAUCUACCUGAUACCAGCCAUCACACACAAGCAUGCCGAAGCCCUGUGUUGGAAUGGAUGGCUCCUGCCUGGGGGCCAUCAUUAUUCCCUCGCCACUUGCCUCAGCAAACCUUGGGGACACUGAAGGCUCCAGCUAAUAUUGAAAUGUCUUCAGCACAUUUGCCCAGCAGCAUGAAGAGAACAUGUGAAGGGGAGGCAGGAGUUGUAAAUAGGUGACCUGACACCCAGGCUGUGUGACCAGAGGCGAGCUGGUUUACUUUCCUGAGACUACAUUUUGUUGAUCCAAUGGGAAUAACGAUACCUACCUUUCUGGCCUCUCAGGGUUAUAAAACUGACAUGAAAUAAUAAAUGUGAAAGUAGAACUUUCCA
ensembl:lncRNA